GUUUGGCUUCUCAACUAUAAUAGUGGUCCUGUAUAAUCAAAGAUAACAACUGGAUAUGGUUCCUAUCCGGAGAUUACUUCGCUCGUUGACCAGUACGAUUGGAAAUUUGUUCCUAUUGCCAAUCCAGAUGGAUACGCCUAUACUUGGAAUACUGAUCGCAAUUGGAGGAAGAAUCGUCUUGUUAACAAUGAAUCGACGUGCGUCGGUGUCGAUGCUAACCGCAAUUUUCCGAUCGGUUUUGCUGGAUCUGGUUCCUCCAGCGAUCCCUGUUCAGGAACUUAUCAUGGAAUUGCCGCAUUCUCCGAGCGCGAGGCCAGCGCAUUUAGAGUAAAACUUG
rnacentral:lncRNA from 1 species